UUGGAGGGCAAGUCUGGUGCCAGCAGCCGCGGUAAUUCCAGCUCCAAUAGCGUAUAUUAAAGUUGUCGCAGUUAAAAAGCUCGUAGUUGAAUUUCGGGAUCAAAUAAUCGGUCGUGCCUCCGGUACGUACUGGUUUUAUUGGUUCCUCCCUUCUGACGAACCAUGAUGUCAUUAAUUUGAUGUGGUGGAGAAUCAGGACUGUUACCUUGAAAAAAUUAGAGUGUUUAAAGCAGGCUAACGCUUGAAUACAUUAGCAUGGAAUAAUGAAAUAGGACGUUCGACCCUAUUUUGUUGGUUUCUAGGAUCGACGUAAUGAUUAAUAGGAAUAGUUGGGGGCAUUAGUAUUCAAUUGUCAGAGGUGAAAUUCUUGGAUUUAUUGAAGACUAACUACUGCGAAAGCAUUUGCCAAGGAUGUUUUCAUUAAUCAAGAACGAAAGUUAGGGGAUCGAAGACGAUCAGAUACCGUCGUAGUCUUAACCAUAAACUAUGCCGACUAGGGAUCGGAUGAUGUUAAUUUUUUAAUGACUCGUUCGGCGCCUUACGGGAAAC
rnacentral:rRNA from 1 species